GACGAACGCUGGCGGCGUGCUUAACACAUGCAAGUCGAACGGUAAGGCCCUUCGGGGUACACGAGUGGCGAACGGGUGAGUAACACGUGGGUGAUCUGCCCUGCACUUCGGGAUAAGCCUGGGAAACUGGGUCUAAUACCGGAUAGGACCACUGCCUACAUGGGUGGUGGUGGAAAGCUUUUGCGGUGUGGGAUGGGCCCGCGGCCUAUCAGCUCGUUGGUGGGGUGAUGGCCUACCAAGGCGACGACGGGUAGCCGGCCUGAGAGGGUGACCGGCCACACUGGGACUGAGAUACGGCCCAGACUCCUACGGGAGGCAGCAGUGGGGAAUAUUGCACAAUGGGCGCAAGCCUGAUGCAGCGACGCCGCGUGAGGGAUGACGGCCUUCGGGUUGUAAACCUCUUUCAGCACCGACGAAGCGCAAGUGAGGUAGGUGCAGAAGAAGGACCGGCCAACUACGUGCCAGCCGCCGCCGUAA
rnacentral:rRNA from 1 species